GCUCAACCCAGUUCCACGGACUUCAAGAAUCCACGUAUCAAAUCCUUGAUUACACAUGUACCGAGCAAAUGAUGACUGAGGCGAAAGAUCAUAUGCAAUAGCAUUAGUCCCUAUGCCAGACAAGAGAAGAAGCGGGUGAUUUCUCCUUGGAGCCUGCGGAGGAGGAAGGUAGCGCCAGAGAGCAAGUCUCCAAUCACAAGUAUUAAGGGAGACGUAAUGAAGCUCGUCGGCGGUGCAUAUCGAUGGCUUAUUCAACACAUUCUUCUCAUGCCUCUGCUUUUGGGCAGCAUCAUCAAUGGUCGACAAAAA
rnacentral:misc_RNA from 1 species